rnacentral:rRNA from 1 species
AUUGAACGCUGGCGGCAGGCCUAACACAUGCAAGUCGAGCGGAUGACGGGAGCUUGCUCCUUGAUUCAGCGGCGGACGGGUGAGUAAUGCUUAGGAAUCUGCCUGGUAGUGGGGGACAACGUUUCGACAGGAACGCUAAUACCGCAUACGUCCUACGGGAGAAAGCAGGGGACCUUCGGGCCUUGCGCUAUCAGAUGAGCCUAGGUCGGAUUAGCUAGUUGGUGGGGUAAUGGCUCACCAAGGCGACGAUCCGUAACUGGUCUGAGAGGAUGAUCAGUCACACUGGAACUGAGACACGGUCCAGACUCCUACGGGAGGCAGCAGUGGGGAAUAUUGGACAAUGGGCGAAAGCCUGAUCCAGCCAUGCCGCGUGUGUGAAGAAGGUCUUCGGAUUGUAAAGCACUUUAAGUUGGGAGGAAGGGCAGUAAGUUAAUACCUUGCUGUUUUGACGUUACCGACAGAAUAAGCACCGGCUAACUCUGUGCCAGCCGCCGCAGUAAAAC